GACGUAGGGGGCCAGCGUUGUUCGGAAUUACUGGGUGUAAAGGGUUCGUAGGCGGUGCGGCAAGUCGGGAGUGAAAUCUCUGGGCUUAACCCAGAGGCUGCUUCCGAAACUGCUGUGCUUGAGUGUGGGAGAGGCGCGUGGAAUUGCAGGUGUAGCGGUGAAAUGCGCAGAUAUCAGGAGGAACACCGGUGGCGAAGGCGGGUCUCUGGGCCGAUACUGACGCUGAGGAGCGAAAGCGUGGGGAGCGAACAGG
rnacentral:rRNA from 1 species